ACGAACGCUGGCGGCGUGGAUAAGACAUGCAAGUCGAACGAGAGAAUUGCUAGCUUGCUAAUAAUUCUCUAGUGGCGCACGGGUGAGUAACACGUGAGUAACCUGCCCCCGAGAGCGGGAUAGCCCUGGGAAACUGGGAUUAAUACCGCAUAGUAUCGAAAGAUUAAAGCAGCAAUGCGCUUGGGGAUGGGCUCGCGGCCUAUUAGUUAGUUGGUGAGGUAACGGCUCACCAAGGCGAUGACGGGUAGCCGGUCUGAGAGGAUGUCCAGCCACACUGGAACUGAGACACGGUCCAGACACCUACGGGUGGCAGCAGUCGAGAAUCAUUCACAAUGGGGGAAACCCUGAUGGUGCGACGCCGCGUGGGGGAAUGAAGGUCUUCGGAUUGUAAACCCCUGUCAUGUGGGAGCAAAUUAAAAAGAUAGUACCACAAGAGGAAGAGACGGCUAACUCUGUGCCAGCAGCCGCGGUAAUACAGAGGUCUCAAGCGUUGUUCGGAAUCACUGGGCGUAAAGCGUGCGUAGGCUGUUUCGUAAGUCGUGUGUGAAAGGCGCGGGCUCAACCCGCGGACGGCACAUGAUACUGCGAGACUAGAGUAAUGGAGGGGGAACCGGAAUUCUCGGUGUAGCAGUGAAAUGCGUAGAUAUCGAGAGGAACACUCGUGGCGAAGGCGGGUUCCUGGACAUUAACUGACGCUGAGGCACGAAGGCCAGGGGAGCGAAAGGGAUUAGAUACCCCUGUAGUCCUGGCAGUAAACGGUGCACGCUUGGUGUGCGGGGAAUCGACCCCCUGCGUGCCGGAGCUAACGCGUUAAGCGUGCCGCCUGGGGAGUACGGUCGCAAGAUUAAAACUCAAAGAAAUUGACGGGGACCCGCACAAGCGGUGGAGUAUGUGGCUUAAUUCGAUGCAACGCGAAGAACCUUACCUGGGCUUGACAUGUAAUGAACAACAUGUGAAAGCAUGCGACUCUUCGGAGGCGUUACACAGGUGCUGCAUGGCCGUCGUCAGCUCGUGUCGUGAGAUGUUUGGUUAAGUCCAGCAACGAGCGCAACCCCUGUUGCCAGUUACCAGCACGUGAAGGUGGGGACUCUGGCGAGACUGCCCAGAUCAACUGGGAGGAAGGUGGGGACGACGUCAGGUCAGUAUGGCCCUUAUGCCCAGGGCUGCACACGUACUACAAUGCCCAGUACAGAGGGGGCCGAAGCCGCGAGGCGGAGGAAAUCCUGAAAACUGGGCCCAGUUCGGACUGUAGGCUGCAACCCGCCUACACGAAGCCGGAAUCGCUAGUAAUGGCGCAUCAGCUACGGCGCCGUGAAUACGUUCCCGGGUCUUGUACACACCGCCCGUCACAUCAUGGAAGCCGGUCGCACCCGAAGUAUCUGAAGCCAACCGCAAGGAGGCAGGGUCCUAAGGUGAGACUGGUAACUGGGAUG
rnacentral:rRNA from 1 species